rnacentral:rRNA from 1 species
GACAGAGGUGCCAAGCGUUAGGCGGAAUCACUGGGCUUAAAGCGGGUGUAGGCGGACUAAUAAGUCAGGUGUGAAAUCCCAGGGCUCAACCCUGGAAGUGCACUUGAUACUGCUAGUCUUGAAUGUGGUAGAGGUUACUGGAAUUCCUGGUGUAGUGGUGAAAUACGUAGAUAUCGUCUGGAACGCCGAAGGUGAAAACAGCUCGCUGGGAUUGUGCUGACGCUGGAGACACGAAAGCCAGGGGAGCGAACGGG